rnacentral:rRNA from 1 species
UACAGAGGUCCCAAGCGUUGUUCGGAUUCACUGGGCGUAAAGGGUGCGUAGGUGGACUCUUAAGUCGGUGGUGAAAUCCUGGAGCUCAACUCCAGAACUGCCUUCGAUACUGAGAGUCUCAGAGUCCGGGAGAGGUGAGUGGAACUCCGAGUGUAGAGGUGAAAUUCGUAGAUAUUCGGAAGAACACCAGUGGCGAAGGCGGCUCACUGGCCCGGUACUGACGCUGAGGUGCGAAAGCGUGGGGAGCAAACAGG